GUCAUUAGCAUAUUUCUGACUAUAUCUGAUGCUUGCGCAAAGACGCUCCACUACUGCUGCAGCGCACCGACCAGAAAGCACCCAGCAUCCAGAAACCCUCCGACUACCUGCAACAAUGGAUGACAAGCCUGACAUUUCAGAAGUGCAGAAAUUCGACAAAUCGAAGCUAAAAAAGACCGAGACGCAGGAGAAGAAUGUCCUGCCUACACAAGACGUCAUCGAACAGGAGAAGGCAGACAAGUCGUGAAGCCCCUCCUUCCCAUCAUGCACUGUACACCCCCUUCCUCCUCCUCCUCCCGCAUUGCCUUGUUUUCAGUCACUUCUUUUUAGAUGUAUAACUUUGUAACCGAAAUUAUGAAACGAUAACCACGCUGCACAGCCUGUUAGGGUUUGGGCCCCGUCCCCCUGACGCUCGUACGCCACCUUCACUGACGAUGAGUAGGAUGUGAGGCAGAGGAGGGGAGCUGCACGUCCUUUCUUCACCACCACCUAAUGACAUCAAGGUGCAGCAGACGGAGAGGCCUCGGGGACGGGGCGUGGCCUGCGUCCCAGGAAGCUCCACCGCCGUCUCACACACCAAACACCCUACUUCCUGUGUGGCUGCUUUUGCGCCCCGAGCCAUGGCGUCAAGCUUUUAACUUUUUUUUAUUGUUUCUUCUAAUUUUCGGGAAAUGCACAACUUUGUUUGUACGCUGGCCAAAAUGUAAAUGCCCCCCCCCCCCAAAAAAAAAUGGUCUGUUUUUUCUUCUGUAUGUACACAAGGAUAAACAUGUAAAAGAUUCCAUCUAGAUCUGGGAGAAGGUCUCUUAUGGACCUGAUUUGGGCUUAAAUUUGAACGCCUUUUUUGUCAGACGCAUUCGGGAUAGCUUUAAAUCUGUCUCGUCUGAAAUUAGGAAAAAAGCAAUUGAUUCAAUUUGUUUGCUUUCAACAAUCCUUGCAAAAAUUGUCAAAAGUUUCCAGCGGUCAUGUUACUCUGCCACAAACCAUUACCAAAAAUGGAAAACCGUGAAAUGUUGUAAUAAAAAAGAAUUUGUUACUAAAA